rnacentral:rRNA from 1 species
UGUGAACUGUGGACCUCCGGGUCUAUUUAACAAACAUCAGUGUAAUGAACGUAUAUAUCAUUAAACAAAACAAAACUUUCAACAACGGAUCUCUUGGCUCUCGCAUCGAUGAAGAACGCAGCGAAAUGCGAUAAGUAAUGUGAAUUGCAGAAUUCAGUGAAUCAUCGAAUCUUUGAACGCACCUUGCGCCUUUUGGUAUUCCGAAAGGCAUGCCUGUUUGAGUGUCAU